rnacentral:misc_RNA from 1 species
AAAUCAGGCGCCUGGUCGUCU